rnacentral:rRNA from 1 species
UACGUAUGGUGCAAGCGUUAUCCGGAUUUACUGGGUGUAAAGGGAGCGCAGGCGGCACGGCAAGCCUGAUGUGAAAGCCCGCGGCCCAACCGCGGGACUGCAUUGGGAACUACCGGGCUGGAGUGCCGGAGAGGUAGGCGGAAUUCCUUGUGUAGCGGUGAAAUGCGUAGAUAUAUGGAGGAACACCGGUGGCGAAAGCGGCUCUCUGGCCUGUAACUGACACUGAGGCUCGAAAGCGUGGGGAGCAAACAGG